GUGGCAACUCGUAAGUUUUAUUAUAUGUUAUGUUAUAUAUAAUAUAAUAUAACCCCCGUCAAGAGUUUUAAACGCUAAUUCAUUUAGUUAUUUGUUGAAGAAAAUUAUGUUUGCCCAUGAAUAGCACAUACGAGUUUGUACCAUGGGAACGAAAAUUCUGCUGCUGCCGUUUUUAUGUCCCAUUUCUUGAUUUCUUUUUCUCCAUCAAGCGUUGGCCACCAAAAAGAGUCCCAGGAGAAAAAAGUGAUACUGGGGCGUCCGCCAUUUUGAUAUAACAGAAGUUAAGUCAUAAGUGGUAGAGUUGUGUUCUCAAUUUGAACUACACAAGUUUCUCUAGGGCACAUCAUGCCCUUCUAUAGUAACAAAUUUCAGUGCUGGUUUGUUUAAUAUAAUUUUUUUCCCUAAAAACAAAAUUUAAUUAUUUUUUUGAAAAUAUUACAGUACUAUAUUAUAAAUUGAUUUACAUGUCAGAAAUUCUAAAACAACUUGAUAUAAUUAGUAAAAAAUAAAUAAUAUAAAUUUGAUUUGAUCAAUAAUACGUCAUUUUAAACAAUUUUAAUCCGUUAACAAGAUUGUACCACAAAUAAUUGGCCUUACUAUUCAUGCCCUGUUGUCUCCGCUGGGAAAAAAAAUACUGCAGUGCUAAUAUAAAAGAAGAACGCCAAAUAAAAGACAGAUUACAUAUAAAAGAAUAACGCCAAAUACAAGGCCGGUGAGGCGGUGACCACAAUCGACAAGAUAAGAUGUGUGCCUAACUUUGCUAUUGUUGAUUAUUAAUUAAGCCUUUCAGUGCUAACGAGUAACGACAAGGCACUCAAAAAAAAAAAAUAUAAAUAAAUCAGACACUGUCGUAAAUAUCAAUUAUGAGAAACUCCUCCGUCUAUUUAUUUAUGCGCCCACUAAUACUACUAGCACAAUUAGGGAUGGCAAAAUUUAGGUCCGGGUCUGAAUUUGAGUUUAGUCUUUUUGGAUUUGGACUUAGAUAUUAUUUUCUUUUUUCGGACCCGGAUUUUAAUUUGAAUUUUUUCACC
rnacentral:lncRNA from 1 species